rnacentral:rRNA from 1 species
UACGUAGGGUGCAAGCGUUUGUCCGGAAUUAUUGGGCGUAAAGAGCUCGUAGGCGGUCUGUCGCGUCUGCUGUGAAAACUCAGGGCUUAACCCUGAGCUUGCAGUGGGUACGGGCAGACUAGAGUGCGGUAGGGGAGACUGGAAUUCCUGGUGUAGCGGUGAAAUGCGCAGAUAUCAGGAGGAACACCGGUGGCGAAGGCGGGGUCUCUGGGCCGUAACUGACGCUGGAGGAGCGAAAGCCGUGGGG